AUUGAACGCUGGCGGCAGGCCUAACACAUGCAAGUCGCGCGAGCGGCGGCCGGGUGAGUAAUGUAUGGGGACUCCCCGAUAGAGGGGGAUAACUUCUGGAAACGGUGUCUAAUACCGCAUACCAUCAGUUAACCCAUAUGGGAUUAGCGAGUGGGUGGGGUAAAGGCUCACCAAGGCGACGAUCUCUAGCUGGUCUGAGAGGUUGAUCAGCCAAACUGGGAAUGGGACACGGCCCAGAAUCCUACGGAGGCAGCAGUGGGGAAUAUUGGACAAUUGGCGCAAGCCUGAUGCAGCCAUGCGGCGUGUAUGAAGAAGGCCUUGGAGUGGUAAAGUACUUUCAGCGGGUAGGCGUUACCCGCAGAAGAAGCACCGGCUAACGCCGUGCCAGCAGCCGCGGUAAUAC
rnacentral:rRNA from 1 species